rnacentral:rRNA from 1 species
CACGUAGGGCGCAAGCGUUGUCCGGAAUUAUUGGGCGUAAAGAGCUCGUAGGUGGUGUGCCACGUCCGCUGUGAAAACUCAGGGCUUAACCCUGAGCUGGCAGUGGAUACGGGCAGACUAGAGGUAGGUAGGGGAGAAUGGAAUUCCCGGUGUAGCGGUGAAAUGCGCAGAUAUCGGGAGGAACACCGGUGGCGAAGGCGGUUCUCUGGGCCUUACCUGACGCUGAGGAGCGAAAGCGUGGGGAGCAAACAG